GUUUCGCUGCUGGUGGCAGCUUCAUAUUUACUGUACAGACGUAUCGGUCUUCUCAUCUAACUCUUGGCCUGGCAUCUUAUUCCUUUCAUCUGGUUGAAAGAUUGAGUGCACUUCAGGUGGGUUGGAGAAGAGGAGGGGCAUGAGGGUUUGAUGGAGGACACACCAGCUGAUGAAAGGAGUGUAACUUAACUAUUGUGAAGACGUUUUCAUGAUUGUCAUGCUUAAAAUCAAUAUGAGUAAGACGAAAAGUGCCAUCUGUGUCCAAAUGCAUAUAUUUCUUCUUUCUUUGUUUUACUUAAGGUUGAAUGUAGCAAUAUCUGCACACAAACACUGCUGGAUUUUGUGCUUGAUAGUCAGAAAUAUGACAAAAAUGUAUAUGAAUUGAAUACUGUGAGAUUAGAUAAGCUUGUCCUGUACAUUUUGUACUGUAUACAUUGUCAAGGUGAAGUAGGCUGCAGUGUUACACACAUCAGUCCUUUAAAUGGGAGGAUCGUCCUAGCAUUGUAUUUUUUAUAAAUAAAUUAAAUAAUAAAUAAAUAUAUAAUG